UACGAAGGGGGCUAGCGUUGCUCGGAAUUACUGGGCGUAAAGCGCACGUAGGCGGCUUUCUAAGUCGGGUGUGAAAUUUCGGAGCUUAACUCCGAAACUGCAUUCGAUACUGGCGUGCUUGAGGACUGGAGAGGAGACUGGGAUUUACGGUGUAGCAGUGAAAUGCGUAGAUAUCGUAAGGAAGACCAGUGGCGAAGGCGGGUCUCUGGACAGUUCCUGACACUGAGACACGAAGGCCAGGGGAGCAAACGGG
rnacentral:rRNA from 1 species